rnacentral:rRNA from 1 species
AGAGUUUGAUCCUGGCUCAGAGCGAACGCUGGCGGCAGGCUUAACACAUGCAAGUCGAGCGGGCGUAGCAAUACGUCAGCGGCAGACGGGUGAGUAACGCGUGGGAACGUACCUUUUGGUUCGGAACAACACAGGGAAACUUGUGCUAAUACCGGAUAAGCCCUUACGGGGAAAGAUUUAUCGCCGAAAGAUCGGCCCGCGUCUGAUUAGCUAGUUGGUGAGGUAACGGCUCACCAAGGCGACGAUCAGUAGCUGGUCUGAGAGGAUGAUCAGCCACAUUGGGACUGAGACACGGCCCAAACUCCUACGGGAGGCAGCAGUGGGGAAUAUUGGACAAUGGGCGCAAGCCUGAUCCAGCCAUGCCGCGUGAGUGAUGAAGGCCCUAGGGUUGUAAAGCUCUUUUGUGCGGGAAGAUAAUGACGGUACCGCAAGAAUAAGCCCCGGCUAACUUCGUGCCAGCAGCCGCGGUAAUACGAAGGGGGCUAGCGUUGCUCGGAAUCACUGGGCGUAAAGGGUGCGUAGGCGGGUCUUUAAGUCAGGGGUGAAAUCCUGGAGCUCAACUCCAGAACUGCCUUUGAUACUGAAGAUUUUGAGUUCGGGAGAGGUGAGUGGAACUGCGAGUGUAGAGGUGAAAUUCGUAGAUAUUCGCAAGAACACCAGUGGCGAAGGCGGCUCACUGGCCCGAUACUGACGCUGAGGCACGAAAGCGUGGGGAGCAAACAGGAUUAGAUACCCUGGUAGUCCAA